AUGACACAGUGGAUGAUUAUUGCUCUUUUCUUCAGUGCUCAUCAUUCUGGAUGUAACUCUCAGGACAGUGUUGACCAGAAUACAGGAUUUCAAACAGCUCUUGAAGGAGCAGCUGUAACAAUCUCCUGUACAUAUAAAAGCAUUGAUUCAUCUCCAACUCUCUUCUGGUACCAGCAAAAAGUCAAUGGAUUCCCAAAGUACAUGCUGAACAGAAUUGGUGCUCAUGGAGAUAAAGACAAAGAUUUUAAAGAGAGAUUUAAUGCAAAUAUUGACACAUCUUCAAAAUCAGUUCCUCUGAUAAUUCAGGAUCUUCAUGUGUCUGACUCUGCUGUGUAUUACUGUGCUCUGCGGCCCACAGUCACUAAAACACAUUCAACACUCAUACAAAAACCUUGA